rnacentral:lncRNA from 1 species
AACACAUAUACAAAUUUUUAUUUAGAAUUAGAGACUCAAAUACAAAUUAAGUACAAUAUAAAUUAAACCUUCUUAAAACAAUCCACAACCACUUUAAAUCAUUUACUAUUUCUACAAUAAAAGAGAAACCUAAAAAUAGUAAAAAGUCAAAUUAUUUUUAAACUCGUAUUAUUAACAGUAAAAUGGUUACAAAACACUCAAAGAAACUUAAUCAGAAAAUGAACAAAGCCUCUACAGACUGAUUCCUGUGAUCCACUAAAAUCAAUUAAGAAAUUAAAUUAUAGUAUGAUUUCUACUCAUUCACAAAUAAAAAGCACCUCAUUUUUAAAAGACAAUGAAUUAUCUGUUUCUUUCGGGGCUAUGAGGACUACUCAGUUUACUUGACUUUUAAAUUUAAUAUGGCACAAUAGGUUUGAUCAAUGAAAACAAUAUCACUAAAAAUGCUUAGAAUGUCCUUUACAGACCAUUUUUGUUUUAUUUCAUAAAUAAGGAGGUCAUAUAUUUAAAAGUUAAAAUAUUACAAUAAAUAUGUGGCAAAAUAAAUAAACAAGUCUUUUACUUUUCACUUGCAAGUGGGAAACUGACCAGACUCAUUUUUAUAUUUUCCCUUUUUAUUAUGUCUUAAUUCUUCAGAG